rnacentral:rRNA from 1 species
GACGAACGCUGGCGGCGUGCUUAACACAUGCAAGUCGAACGGUAAGGCCCUUCGGGGUACACGAGUGGCGAACGGGUGAGUAACACGUGGGUGAUCAGCCCUGCACUUCGGGAUAAGCCUGGGAAACUGGGUCUAAUACCGGAUAGGACCACUGCCUGCAUGGGUGGUGGUGGAAAGCUUUUGCGGUGUGGGAUGGGCCCGCGGCCUAUCAGCUUGUUGGUGGGGUGAUGGCCUACCAAGGCGACGACGGGUAGCCGGCCUGGGAGGGUGACCGUCCACACUGGGACUGAGAGACGGCCCAGACGCCUAGGGGAGGCAGCAGUGGGGAAUAUUGCAAAGUGGGCGCAAGCCUGAUGCAGCGACGCCGCGGAGGGUAUGACGGCCUUCGGGUUGUAAACCUCUUUCAGCACCGACGAAGCGCAAGUGACGGUAGGUGCAGAAGAAGGACCGGCCAACUACGUGCCAGCAGCCGCGGUAA